CUUGAUCGACCCCAGCCACAGGGGCCGCCCCUCGGGCCGGUCCUGGCCGUAGGCGGCCAGCAGCGCCUGGGCCUC
rnacentral:antisense_RNA from 1 species